AGGGGAGCCCCAGUUCUGCCUCCUCCAUGGCCACUGCAGUGCCCGUACUGAGGUGCAGCCACUCAGGGACAGGGGGACAGCAACCAGCAUCCACAAUGACAAUGGAAGGGCUCCUCAUAAUGAGGCAUGACUGUUCCCUACCCCUCCUGGCUGCAGCCUGCUCUCCUUGUCUAAGAGGUGAAACCAUCCAGUCCCCUCUUGCUGUGUCACUUGGGAUGGCAUUAGAGAUUUUUAGAACAAGCCUAAGGACAAAACCCAACCUUUCUGGACGCAGCAUAAACCCCCAAAUACGGUAUGUUGGACAAUUCAUUGUCUAUGCGACAGCUUUGUUACGUACUACUGAGAUGUACAAUGAUGGUGUUUGCUUCUGUACAAGAACCAGGCUGGCUACUUCUAUUUGAUUCUGUAAAGUGCUUUGUGAUCAUGAUGUGAAUGUAACUGCACAAGUUAAAAUAGCUCUGUUUUAUUAAGAGUUUCAAUUAAAGUGUUUAAUAGACAGAUUUUAUCGUGAGAGAGGCAUCACAAAGGCUGAGUACAACAUAAUGGCAAGGCAGGUAUUGUUAUGAUUAUUAUUACUAUUAUUUAUGUAUAAUCAUUGACAUAUUAACUGAAAACUGGGAAAUCAAGUCCCUGCAUCCUAAAGAACUCACAAUAACAGCUUUUUAUUGGGCCAGGCAAAGCAUCUCUGCUUUGUGGCACAAGUAAUGGUGCAUAUAGCCCGGUCUGGAAAUCUGUGACCCUGAAUGGGUUUUCCCAUUUCCAAAGAUCAAAAGUGGCAGAAAUUCAGUUGGAUCCAUCAUUGCCUGCCUUUUACUCUUCCCAUCGCCUUUUCUUCUCUGUCCGUUGGUGUAAGGGUCAUCCCUGCACAUUAGAGCUGUUUACUCUGUGCCUGUUUACCCAGCAGAGCAGCUGGGAAGUUCUCAUCAAAGUGGUAUUUGAAGGCCUUUACUAGGAACCUGAGAGGUAUUUUGCCUUCCUCCUUGUGUUUUGGCCUCCUAAAAUCUAAAGUGGAGCAUCUGUAUUAGAGUUAAAUCAAGAAUAAAUCUUUCAGAAGUCGAGAGGGACUGUAUCA
rnacentral:lncRNA from 14 species